GUAAUCUGCAAACUUGCUAAUCAUGCCUUGUAUGUUCUCAUCCAAAAUUAUUGAUAUAGAUGACAAACAAUAGGCCCAGCACUGAACCCCGAGGCACACCAUUUGUCACAGGAACUGGGUUAUGCACAUUGAUGACAUUUAGAGCUUCUUAAUAGCUGUAGCAUUCUUAUCCUGCACAGUAUCUGUUCUGUACACCAUUCUUUAGUUUGUGUAUCUGAAUUGUUUCACCAUUACUAAUCCCUUCGAAAAACAAUACUCUUAGUGAAGGUGAGGUGAGUAUCCAGUGAUACAAAAUAGUACUUAAUGUAAUCCCUUUCCCAUUCUACUGAGAGCAGAAUUGUGGCUGAGCUUCUCAUCUAUAGUUCAACAAGUCAAAAGGGCACAGGGUGAAGAGGUUUGAGAUGCUGUGGGUUUGCUGCUUUGGUGUUUUUGGAAGAUCAUCUUGUUGCUGACAAUGAAACAGCUGAAUGCCUUUUCACCUCUUGCUCUUAAACCUACAUGUAUGUUCUUGGUUCUUGCAGCCAUUCUCAAAAGCGCUCCAAUAAUUUUGCAUGUUUCUGAUCUGACCAAAGCAAGGCCCAGUGUUCAAGGUCCAUGAUGACCAGAGGCUGACAGUUUGGUUUGCACAGAUACCUCCAGAUCUCUUGACCUCAUGCAUAGUUACGCUGGCUGAGUUGGCCUCUUCUGUAGUAAGUGCUUUGCUUCAUAUUUUCAAUUACCGCUCAUAAACGCAUUUUAUAUUUUCUUACUCUGCCAAGUGUUACCCAUUCCCAAUUGCCCUUGAGAAGGUGGGGUGAGCUGCCGUUUUGAACUGCAAUUCCCCUGAUGAAGAUGCUCCCACAGUGCUGCUGUGGAAGGAGUUCCAGCAUUUAGACCCAGGAACUUUGAAAUAACCAUGAUUAUAUUUCCAAGUAAGGAUGGAGUGCAACUUGGAAGGGAACCUGCAGGCGAUGGUGUUUGUCUGUACCUGCUUGUCUUGUCCUUCAGUGGAGGAGAGGAAAGUCCUGGCAAAUUAAAUGGUUUAUUAUUGUCGCCUGUACCGAGGUAGUGGACAACGUUGCUAUUGCAGAGUAACUUGUAGACAGAAUGCACUGCACUGUUAGGUCUCAUUCACAUUACAGCUGAAGUGAUCAUUUAUUCACCCUUGUGUUGCUUUGAAUGUCUACCCUUCAUUAGGAGUAAGAAUUUGUAGCUGUGUGUCAGAAUGCUGAUGUAAAAUUGGAAUGAGGUGAGAAGGGAUUAGUUCCUUUGCGAGGAGUCGCUCUUAUUUCCACCGGGGGGGGGGGGGGGGGGGGGGUUAGUGCGUGUUGGGGUCCCCUUGCACGUGCUUCAGUGCAUCCAAAUCCAGGCAGAUGUGAAUUAGAAUAAGGAAGGUCUUUAUAUACCUGGCCCUAAUCAAGGACAAUUUGCUGAGGACUGUACUUAUACACCUGACCCCAAUCUGGCAUCAGCUGUAGGUGCUCAAUCAACAUUUAUCUUCAAAUGCUAUCUUUGUUUCAGAAGAACCACCAAUCCGUAAGCUAUUGUUGGUGUUGAAGAAGCCCUGUCUCUUGGAACUCUUUCUCGUUGAUCUAUCCUGUUUACAGGAACAACUCUCAAUUUUUAAAUCCAGUCUGGCUCUGAAGCCUAUAAACUGCAAUUUGGAUCUUGCAUCUUAACCUGCAGUCAAUGUGUAACAAUUUGAUUUAGUGAGAGGUCAUUUGAACAAAGCACACAGCAAGGAGCAAAACAGUGAUCUGAAAUGACCGGAGAUUAUGCAUUGAAUCCGAAAGGUACCUUUUUAAAAAGUUAAUGUGUCAUUGAUUUUUUUUGUUUUGCUUUUAAUGCAGUCAUUCAAUCUGUCCACUGCAAGUGCUGAAGUUUCUAUCUCUGUCGGUAUGUGGUUGUCAGUCAGUGUCCUUCAUAGUUAUCUCUGAAUGAUCCACUGGCCAAUGGCCUGAUAGCAGAGAUUCCAAGUUAAUUUUAUCCAGCAAGUGAUUUAAAAGAAUAUAUAUAUCAUAGGUGCGGUAUGUUGCUUCAAGUUCUGCUCUUCAUAUCUUUUUGAAUAGAUCUGGUUUCAUUUAAGAAAAAAAUCUACUUCCCCUCCUCCCUGACCUCUGCCCUGUCUGCUCUGAGUCUGACGUAGCCAGCAUUUUUUCCUGUGCCUGAUCACUGCCGUUACACAGCAUCACAGUUAGAGCUCUGCCACUGCACAGUUCCACAUGCCAUUGGCCUCUCCCACUGGCUCUGAAGCUGCCGGUCAGCUCACAUCGAGUUGGACCUAUACAGAGAGUGAGAUUAUCUCUGAGCUCUGCACCUUUUCAGACGUGCAGCAGUCGUCUGGUUGCUGGAGGAGGCUUGGCAUGCAUCACUUUCAUCAUGGGACUACAAGUGGCUUUGGAGAGCAUCUCGUCACCUCUCCACCCAUUUCAAGGGCUGCGUGCAAUGUUACUUUGAUUAAAAUUGCUCAAUUUCAGAUGGGUUCAUAUGUAUCGUGUGAAGCUGCCCUCCAAAAGAGGCUUUCUGUACACCUUCGUGCUGAAUCUGAAUUUUCCAGAAUUGCAUAGCGGGCUGGGCUUGUCACCUGACUUGCUGCUAAUCUUUUCUUUUACAAUUCCUGACUCUUUCACUCAGCUUCUCCCAAUUCUGGCAUCUGCCUUGAAACAAAUCUACAAUUGAAAUUGAAUAAUUUGUUGAAAUGACUAAGGCUGACAACCACUUGUGUGGCGUUCAACCCACAAGUGAUUCAAUACACUUUUUAUGAAAAGCACUUUGGUAAAACUGGAUGAAUAUGUGGGGAGAAUUUAUUUAAAUAUAUUUGAGUCUUGUGAAUUAUGUAUAAAAAUGUGUAAAAUUCUUUGUUAAAUCAUUGUAUACUGGUUAUCAGCAUUGAUUGGUUUAUUUAUAAGGAAUCAUUUGAAAAAGCUGAGCGUAUGAGAAGCUAUGUUUUAAGCAGUGUGCAUAUCCAACUCUGGAUGAAUUUGUAGGAAAACAGUGUGAUUUAUGUGAUUAUGAUUGAAGCUGAACAGAUGCCAUGUUUGAGAAGGGAAGAGUGUAAAACGAUUUCAGCGAAACCUGGCUCAGAUAGUCCGUUCAGUCAAAAGAAGAGUAGAUCCUUUGUUGCCUGGAGGGAGGAUGGAUUAAAAAAUAAACCCGACUGGCCAAAAGAAAACUUGGGCAGAGCUUUCAAAUGAGGCUAUUGGGACAGCCAGUGUGAAAAUGGAGUAUGUCACAUUAGCCACCAGUUGCUCUGUGGCUGAAAUUAAACAGUCUUGUGAAGAUACUGUCCGAGGAAUUUUGAUCCUGCAUUUAACCCUCCUAAGCUUGGAUGUGUUUGAUACAAAUAUCUGGUGCUCAAAGGGGAAAAUAAUCUGUACUGCGAAUUCACAAAGAUCCAAGAACAGUCUUAAACAGUGAUUCAUGAAGGCUUUUUAUUCACGGGAUGAAUAAAAAAUGCAAGGCCAGCAUUUAAUGAACAUCUUUAAAUGCUGCUAAAACUGAAUGGCUUGCCAUUUCAAAUGUCAGUUAAGAGUCAAACUGUAUUGCUACGCACAGAAGCCAGACAAGGUAAAAAGAGUGGAGAUUUCCUUCUUGGAAGGACAUUAAUAAAACUAAUAUACUUAUGUUAUACUCUUUUCAUCUUAUGGUAUAAGUUUUUGGGGCUGUGUGGGAGAGGGGAAGGAAUUUGAAUAAGAUUUUUUAUUGAUAGUUGUCACUGUUGUGCUUUGUUAGUGGCCUUGUGACCAGUUUGGUGCAAAUGUAUCUGUAGGUACUGUACAUAUAAUAUAAUGCUUCUCACUGCUGCCAUCUUAAGGGGGAAAUCAACGUUACAAACAGCUUUGAAAGUAAUUGGGACAAAAAACAUCUUGAAGCAGACUGAGGUAAAACUUGCUUUUUUGAGAAAAAAAAUUUGCCGUGCGCUGUGACUGAACACGAAGGAAUAGCUGAUUCUGAAGUGCUUUAAAUUAGUGUUGGAGGCCAACUGUGCCAGUUUUAACUGGUGGUGGGGGUGCAGGAGGGGAGCGGAUGUGGGAGCAGGGGGGUAGUAAGAGUUUUAGAUUUUUAUUUAAUGGGGUGUCAUGCAAAUGUCACCACUUGGAACACAGCAAUCCUGCCACUACUGGGAUUUUAUAAAGCAAACACUGCAUCUAGGACAGUAAACACAAAAUGGUUCUGUAAGUAGCUCGACACAUUGCACCAUGUUUGGAUUACUGCCCUAUAUCCAAGAAGCUCUGCAUUCGAAGCUGCUGCAAAGCAAGUGGACAAGUUACUGACAGUUUUAAUGCAACAACCUUCUGCAUUGUACCAGUUGCUUAUAAGAAAGUGCACUUGUGCAAAUUUUACAUCAUAUUUUAUAGUAAAUUUAAUGAUAACCUGCAGGACCAAGAGACGAGGGUAUGAACUGUCUAUGGAGUUGAAUGUCUCACUAGAAUUUGCCUCUUUUAACAAGUUGCUGAACUGAGUUGCUUCAAAGUAUAUGUUUUGAUGCCUACUGUCACUAUGUGAAUGACUGCAAACUAUUGUACUGUUGGAGAAUAUAAACUGACAACAAACCUGCAAUAUUAAUGCUGGGCAUACUCAAAAAAUUAUUUCUAAAGUGACCAAGGACUGAGAUGUUUAUGUGAUCAAAUGUAAACUGGUUUAAGUCUAAGUUGCUUCUUGCUGAUUUGUUCUGCCAUAUUAUUCUGUGUUGGUUGUAAUCCUCGUAUCUCUUCCCUGCCCCAGCCAACUGUAAAUGGGUUGCAUUUUGUUCCCAAACCAUAAUCGGGCAUGAAAGCGCACAAACAUCUCUGCACCAUUUCCAUCGCAAUGCAUCUGUUGUGUCGCAAAAUUGUAGUCUUGACGCAAAUUGCAACAUUGAGAUUAGCGGCUGACAAACAUCGCAAAACAUUUAUUUUCAAUAAAGGCUCUCACCCUUUGAAUCAAUAUUGCAAAGUGGACUUUCUCUGCCCUGAGUCUGGUUUGUGUUGUGUGAAAAUGGUACAAGUGGGUUUGGAUUAAAUGAGGCGCAAAGCAAGAACUGGGGAAUGUCUUAGCACCUCCCCUAUGGACUCUGCUCCUAUUCUGUGAACAAUACAGGGAUUCUUCAACCAUGGCUCAGAUCUUCUCCUCUUUCUGAGUCUGAGAUUGUGCAUUCAAGUCCUGCUAGAGAGGCAUGUGCACAAGUUCUAGACCGGCACUUCCAGUACAGUGUAAUGCUGAGGGAGCUGUGUUGCCAGAGGGGCAAUGCCAAGAGUGUCAGGCUGGCAGAGGAGCGAUGCCAAUGUAGCACCCCACUUUUACAAGUGUCAUUUUUUUUGUGAGUUAUGAAAGAGGUCUGAUGCAAAAGAUUUCACAGCUCUCUUCAGAAGAGCAGGGGUGAUCUCCCUGGUCUCCUGAUCAAGAAUACUCCUGCAACCAACAUUAAGGAGCAGAUCAUCAGGCCCUUACCUCUGCUGAUUAUGGGAGCUUGCUAUGCGCAAUAUGUCUGCCACUUUUGCCAACAGCAUUACUGUCCGGAAUUAUUUACUGUGAAGGAGAUGAACCAUGUCAGGGUGGUGGUGGGGAAGGGGAGGUGGUAGUGCACAGGGCAAGAAGACAAUUCAGAGUAUUGACAAAUGACCACAAAGGAAUGGAGCCUGAAGAACAAUGGGCAUGGAUUUGAUUACUUUCCACAAGGUUCUGUCUUCAUGGGCAAACAAUUUAAAAGAAUUUGGUUGGAAACUAUUUGGUGGGUGAUGGUGGAUUGCUUUUGAACCAGUGAGAGAGAGUGCAACAUCUUUUCUGGCACUCUGUCCUAUAUUUGCACAUUUAGCUAAUGACUGCCAUUUAUGUUAAAGUCAACUGCGAAAAAGUGUUGAUGGGGUCUCGGCCUGUUAAAUUUAUAUUCCCUAACACUCGUGAGUCCCUGCUUAAUUUCCAGUAAAUGUCAAACCCGAGCUGCUUCAGUGCUUGUGAUUUGUUACAGAUAACUACCACGAUUAGUUGGUCAGACCUUAAAGCUUAAAAGGCUACCCCACCAACUAUGAGGCUUUGCAAGAUUGCCUGUCAACGUUCCGAGGACAAGCUGCCCCCUCUGUUUAAAAAUGCAGUGUCUGACUACCUUUCAAUUCCAUCCCAAGUGCCAACUGUCCCAAACAGCGGUCUGUGAAAUUUACUGUUGUUUAAAUCCCCGGCUUUUUGCAAUUGCCGCAGAACUACAACAGGAGGUGGGAUGAGUCGGUAAUAAAGCACAAAGCAAUUGUUUUGGUCACUUUAAUAUUCCUCAUUCUCAAAUGGAACUAAUUUCUGCACUAAAGCCAUAUUAUAGGGUUUUGGUUGAUGUUUUUAAAAAUCCAAGCAGGUCCACUAAAGUUUGAGAUUGCUGUACUUUGUCACCAUGAACAUUAUUAUCAAAUAAGCUGUCAUAGUGAAAUACUAUUUCUCUUUCAUCCAAAAUGAAGUAAUGCAAGUGUCAUAUCAAAGCUGCCAUUGCUAUAAUGCAAAAUAAACAUUUUAAAUAUUUAUUGAAUAAGUUGCUUUAAAUCACAGCAGCAAAAUGAGAAUUUAAAAUUUGAUUCAAAGCAUCUGAAUUAUUUUAAGAAGUUUGAAUAGCGUUUCUUUGUUUGAACUGGAUCAGUAUUUUGUGUUUCAAGUGCCCCUUUCAUGGCUGUCAUUUGGAUAGAAAAAACAAUCCUUUGUUUAAAAGAUUAUUCAGGGGAUAAUGUAGUGUUCUGUUCAAUGACCAGUGUCAGGCAAGGUAAUACAACGUUCCUGCUAUCUCUUGCUAAUGGAGAUAUUUAAAACAAAAGCCAGCCGAAUCGUACAGUGCUGCUCAUAGUAGGGCAGCUAAGCUGUGUUUUAUAAACACCGCAGCACUAGUCUGUGCUCAGCAUGUAUAAUAUUGCUGCUAAAGUGUAAAUGUGCAUAAAGUCUUGUAUCCCUUUAAGAGCCUGUGGCUUUGCCUUAUUGGGUCAGUAAAUGUUGAUUGCUCUAAGCACUACUUCAAGUCAAUUGGAUCUUGGAGAAGCAAGUGUGAUGAACAUAGAUGCAAUAUUUAUAUUAAAUAUUGAUUGGUGUAAACUUGUUUGAUUGA